rnacentral:rRNA from 2 species
UGCAAGUCGAACGAGUUCCCGUUGAUUGACGUGCUUGCACUGAUCUCAACAUUGGAACGAGUGGCGAACUGGUGAGUAACACGUGGGAAAUCUGCCCAGAAGCAGGGGAUAACACUUGGAAACAGGUGCUAAUACCGUAUAACAACAAAAUCCGCAUGGAUUUUGUUUGAAAGGUGGUUUCGGCUAUCACUUCUGGAUGAUCCCGCGGCGUAUUAGUUAGUUGGUAGGGUAAUGGCUUACCAAGACGAUGAUACGUAGCCGACCUGAGAGGGUAAUCGGCCACAUUGGGACUGAGACACGGCCCAGACUCCUACGGGAGGCAGCAGUAGGGAAUCUUCCACAAUGGACGAAAGUCUGAUGGAGCAAUGCCGCGUGAGUGAAGAAGGGUUUCGGCUCGUA